GGGUUCUAAGCCAACAGCCUAAAUACUUUAGGUCCAUUAUUUAGGUCCAAGUUCAACCACUAGACCUGUACUUCGCAAGCCUUCAGAGGAUUCCUGCUUUCAGCCAGCAAGCUUUUUCAGCUGAAGCCCCCAGUAUCAUGGAACAGAAUCAGAUUAUUUCCACCGAGUCCUUUUCAAGUUCUUAACCCACAGGAUUUAUGAGCAUUAUGAAGUCAUUAUUGCUUUCUGCCACUAGGCUGAGAGUGACCACAUAUACAGAAAUAGAAAACUAUUAAUAGAAAAAUAUAUUGCAAACAUCUAAUCCUCAAACCCCAUUCAAGUUUUGCCAACUACCCUCCAUCCUAUCAAAUAUUCCUUAUACCAAAAAGAUCCAGUUCAAAAAUAAGUGUUGCAUUUAUUUGUUAACCUCUUUUGAUCUGGAAUAGCUCCUCACACUGUCUUUCAUGACUUUAAUGCUUUGGGAGACUACAGAUGUUUAGGCUCAUCUGAAAUUUUCCUGCCGUCGCCUUGGAAUCAACCAUUUCUUCAGGGAGUCCUAGUUUCUUUUAGAGUAUAGCCACAAAUUUCUACUGAGUAUUUAUCUACUAUAUGGCAGGUCAAGUCUGCAUUCUGGGAUAAAGGGUUGACACAAUCUUGAAUCAGUGCCUAGGGAGUUCACAAGUCCAGAAAGGGGAUAGAGUAUAUAGGAAGCAAGGGACAACAGAAGCCUAGAAUUCCUGGUAAGCCAGAUUUCCAAGGCUCAAGAAAGCCAUCCAAGGAAAAUAGAAUCUCUCGUGUGCAUGCUCCUCAUUGCACUACUGCUGAAGGACCCCAGAAAGCACUCCCCUCUGAGUUAUAUACCCUGGGGAUAAUUGGCAUUGCUGGACUAAAGUUUGGCAGGGCAUCCUGUUCCAGAAGGAAGCAGAGCAGAGUACAGCCUGCUGUGGACAGUUCCUUUUUGUCUCAGGAUGCUUCAUUCGCAGCACAUUCUACAAUUAUUCUGAGAUCUACAAGCAAGAAAGACGAGGGAGAACUGGGUUAGCUAAGAAAUAUAUUUCUGGCAACAGAGGAGAAGAAUGAUAGGAAGAGAAUUGUACUGGAAUAGUAUAAUCCAUUGGAAUGUUGUUGUAAUGAUGGCAACAGUGGAGAAGAAUGAUAGGAAGAGAAUCAUACUGGAAUAGUAUAAUCCAUUGGAAGGUUGUUGUAAUGAAGGCAAGAAGAAAAAUGACCUUGAAGGCAAGAAGAAAAAUCAUAAUGAAGGAAAGGAGAGAUGAGUUUACCAAAUACAAUCUCAGAAUUGUUCUGUAAAUUUCAUUUCUGCUUUAGCAGCCAUAAGGAGCUCCAUUUAUUACAGUAGGAACAGAGGCAACAGUUACAUGGGUAGAUGGCAGGGAUAGAAAAGAUUUUAGUUUUGAUACAUUGAAUUUGACAUGCUUUUUGAAAAUCUUCAGAUGGUGAUGUACAGUAAGUUGUUGAAUCUUUAUUUUCCAAGCAUCUACACAUACACAACACACACAUACACACAAAUACAAGUUCAUUUAAAGCUCAUCACAUUUGUAAUCUUUAAAAAUUUAUAUUUCUUAAGUACUGCUCUGAUCAGACUAGGGCUUAAGUGGGAGAAAUCAAAACUAAAAGGAGAUGAUCUAUUACAGUACUAAACUUUACAUGACAAGUAUUCAUAUUAUGGUGUAAGAUGUAGAAUUUCAUGGCAAGCCAGCACUCUUAAUGCAACUGCUACAAAAGACAAAUAAACAAACUGUAUAACUAUAUAUUUUAAAAAGUUUGAAGAACUAUUAGAUAAAUUUGGGAAAGAUGAACUUAAAAUCUUGCAGCAUUUGCCACUUUUUAGUAUUGGCAGAAGCCAGGUUUUACCCAGGCAAAGAGCCUUUAUGGUUAGAAAAAUACAACAAAACAAUAAUAAUCUGAUCGGUGGGCAGGGCUGGUAUGAAAGAUUGGAACUAUGCAGAACUCCAAAUUCACAGUUGGUUCCCACCAUUAAACAUUUGCUGAUUUCUGGGGACAGAUAGGAAUUCUAAUAGGCAUAGCUGGCAAAGUGAAGGGAAGUCUCCCACAGUCUCAUAUUACUUGAAAAACAAAGUUCCAUUAAAAAGAAGAAGAUGGCUCUCAACAAACUAGUAAUAGGCAAAUGGUGGAUAGGAAGCAAGACUAAAUUGCAACUCCCACUCAGACCGAGAGUAGCUUGUGGAGACUCACACUGUGAACUUUUGCUCCCAGAACUACUGCAGGAACAUACGAGGAAAGAUGAGAGAAUCCACAGACCCUUUGAAGGAAGCAGAUUGCUCCUGCAGGGCCUAGGAGACAGCCCAAACACUGGGUCCUUAGGGAGAGGUGCCAGAGGAGCUGGAAAAAGGCCACAGGGAGAAGGAAGGCUCCAGCUGAACUUGAUGCAAUGAUGUGGAGGCAAAAAACAGAAUAUUAUUGAUUAAAGGAAGAUGAAU
rnacentral:lncRNA from 1 species